AGGGGCUCGGUGGGCAGCACAGCCUCCAGUCCCUGCUGGCACUGUGCAGAGGGGAGGAGGUCUCCAACUGGAAGAGGUAGGAAGCUGUGAGUAGGUGAAGCCCACGAGUAGGACUGUGGUGCUGCAGCUUGGGCGCUUCUCAGAGAAAACUCCCAGCUGCCUGCAGUGCUGCGUAGCCUGGAGAGAAGACUGACGCCUUGUCACUAGCUUGGACUCUGCAGCCUGAAGCAGAUGAGGAAAGAUGUUGGUAAGUGCGGUACCACCAACAGAGACCUCUCCAGCUCAUUCCAGGACCCCCAGCCCUUCAGGAUGGGGCGUUACUCUGUUCCCCAGCCCAGGAGUGGUGUUCAGCAUGCUUCAGGUAAGCAUUAUGAGGAAGAAGAGGAGGAGGAUGCCCUACCUGACUCAGAUGCCCUGCCAGACUCAGAUGACGAGGUGGAUUUGGAUAAGCCGCGCCCCAUACAGAUUGUUCUUGCUCAUGAAGAUGACCAUAACUUUGAAUUAGAUGAAGAAGCAUUGGAGAAAAUCUUGCUUCAGGAACACAUCAAAGAUCUUAACAUAGUAGUUGUGUCUGUAGCAGGAGCUUUCCGCAAAGGAAAAUCAUUUCUGCUGGACUUCAUGCUUAGAUACAUGUAUAACAGGACUUCUCCUUGCUGGAUAGGUGGAAACACUGAGCCAUUGACUGGGUUUACAUGGAGAGGUGGAUGUGAACGGGAAACUACUGGCAUUCAGAUUUGGAGUGAGGUGUUUGUAAUUGAUAAACCCAAUGGAACAAAGGUUGCUGUACUACUCAUGGAUACCCAAGGUGCCUUUGAUAGCCAAUCCACUAUCAAAGACUGUGCAACGGUUUUUGCUCUGAGCACCAUGACGAGUUCUGUCCAGGUAUACAACUUGUCCCAGAAUAUUCAGGAAGAUGACCUUCAACAUUUGCAGUUGUUUACAGAAUAUGGAAGACUAGCUAUGGAAGAAAUUUACCAAAAGCCGUUUCAGACACUCAUGUUCUUAAUUAGAGAUUGGAGUUAUCCUUAUGAACAUGCAUAUGGCUUGGAAGGAGGAAAAAAGUUCCUAGAGAAAAGAUUGCAGGUAAAGCAAAACCAACAUGAAGAGCUACAGAAUGUAAGGAAGCAUAUUCACUCCUGUUUCAGUAAUCUUGGCUGUUUCCUGUUGCCCCACCCUGGUCUUAAAGUUGCAACAAAUCCAAAUUUUGAUGGGAGGUUGAAUGAUAUAGAUGAGGAUUUUAAGAAAGAACUGCGGAAUUUGGUACCAUUACUGCUUGCCCCUGAAAACUUGGUAGAAAAAGAGAUUAGUGGAUCCAAGGUGACCUGUAGAGAUCUUGUAGAAUACUUCAAGGCUUAUAUUAAAAUCUAUCAAGGAGAGGAGCUACCUCAUCCAAAGUCUAUGCUGCAGGCAACAGCUGAGGCGAACAAUCUGGCUGCUGUGGCAGGAGCAAAAGACUUGUACAGUAAAGGCAUGGAGCAGGUUUGUGGGGGAGAUAAGCCUUACAUUGCCCCGUCGGACCUUGAGCGGAAGCACCAGGAUUUCAGAGAGUCAGCCGUCAGGCAGUUCCGCUCAGUGAAGAAGAUGGGAGGGGAGGAGUUCUGUCGGCGCUACCAGGAACAGCUUGAAGUGGAAAUCGACGAGAUCUAUGCAAACUUUGUGAAGCACAACGAUGGCAAAAACAUCUUUUAUGCUGCUCGUACCCCUGCCACUCUAUUUGCAGUCAUGUUUGCCAUGUAUAUAACCUCAGGACUGACUGGGUUCCUUGGUAUGAACUCCAUAGCUACCCUGUGUAAUCUCGUGCUGGGGAUGGCUCUUAUAUCGUUUUGUACUUGGGCAUACGUUAAGUACUCUGGGGAAUUCAGAGAAGUUGGAACAGCCAUUGAUCAGAUUGCUGAAGCUAUAUGGGAACAGAGGAAUCCCAGGAAGGUGUUUUCCAAACUCUUUGAAGUCCUUAGACGCCGAACGAUUCGCCGUGCUCUUACAUCAGUGCCGCGACAGCGACUCUCAUCCAACAAUAACAAGAAGAAAAACUAGCCAGUAUUUUUAACUUUCUUUCUGUAUCUGAAGUGUUCACACUUACACAUAUAGGACAAUAAGCUGGACCGUCUGGGCCGGUCUGCAUAAAUGCUGUAACCAUACCAGACUGAUGCUGCAUAUAGGGUGUUGAAGCCCAUGAGUGAUAAUUUGAUGGAGGAUCAUAUGAGGCAGUCUGUAAAAAACUCUAUCAAAGCAGGCCUGACCGAGCAGGUGUCUCACCAUGCCAGACUAAAGACAGACUGACAGUUCAUCUCCUCUUCAACUCUGCCCUCUCAUCCUAGACAUGCUUGCUGUACCAUGAGAACUCAAUAAUAAUAAUAAAAAAAAAAAAUAAAAAUAAACCAAAGUUUACAAUCAACUGUAGAAGUAGUUUAGUGUGACUGGCUUCACAGAUUGCUGCCAUCACCUGGGAAGAGUAAGUUUGUCAGUGCUCUGCUUCUAAGACAAACUGGUGCCAUGGAGACGGCUGGGGGUGGGAGGGCGGGUGUCUGUUUUACGUAUAGUCCUGGUGAACUGUGUAUGUGUGCGUUUGGGGGUGGGGGGGUUGGGAUCUUACCCCCAGUGUUUGAGUUGAUGCAGUCUCUGGCUUACAGUGGGAAUCUGUCCUCUGCAGGAGGUAAUUUCAGGGAAGUACAACGAUCAGACCCACAUAAGGUGUGCUCUCACCAAAUGUACCCAGCUCCACACCAUCCCCAUGCCACCUGUAAGGAGUGUUUCUGUGUCUGGAGUGUAUCGAGUCAGUGAAGCCAUUAGAGCCACUACAUUAUAAUAUGUAUCUUGCUUUAUUGCCUUUUAUACCAGUGUUACACAAAUGCAUGUAUUGGUUCUGCACGCUGCUGACGGCAGAACUGACUUGUAGGGGAGGCAGUGGGUCGGAGCAUAUGGUGUCUUGCCUUGAACUUGCAGACCUGGUCCCGAGGGAGGUGCAUAUCAAAACUGAGCUGUCUUUUUCUGCAGUUUAGCCUUCAUGUAUAUAAUAUUGCCAUUAAUUCUACUGGGGGAGAAAUUCCAUCCAAAAAUGUUGCCUACAGCUACCAAGCAAUGAGUUAGGAUUGUCUGUACAGUGUGUUUAGUUUUUAUUUUUUAAGAAAUCACAGAUAGGGCAUGUAUAUGAAAUAUAAAUAUAUAAAUACAAUUUUGUAUCAAAGUUUUGUAGUUUAUGGCAAAACCUGGUUCUGUGGUAGCUAAGUGCAGUCCCUGUAAAGGAAUGUUUGUGGCUCAUGUAAAUGUGUGAAUGCAUCAAUAAUUUGAAGUUUUUUGAUAUAUUUGUGAUAUUUACCUGCCUUGAGCACUGCAAUCUCUCACCCCCUUGGGAAAAUCAGUGGGAAUGUUUGUUGUGAAACUCGUCUUCUGUUGCAUUUUAAAGUUAUUUCCUGUAAUUUAUUUUCAGUACAUGAUUAAAAUCAGUUGUGUAUAUAUGAAAUGAAAUUUGUGCUUAUUUUUAGAAGAUGUUUGAGUAUGUAUUCUACUACAUAAACUAUGUCAAAUACUUAUCCUGACAAUUAUAUGAACAAAUUGUCUAUUGUACUUCAUAGCUUUCUAUUGAAGCUGAUGUUCCUCUCAUGCUUGUCUCUGAAAGAUGACAUCUGUCUAGCUCAUAUCCCCUCCCUGUAUAGGAAAACUCUCUGGUAUUCUAAAGCACGCUUCUUGACUUGUGGAGUUGCUUGUCAGCUUCUGCCCUCCAACAACUGUAUCAUUCUGAAAUCUUGGUACCAGCUCUGUUUUCACUCUUGACUAAAUCAGUAUUGACUAAGGCAUUUUCAGAUGUGUGGAGUGUAAAGGCAGCUAAAUAAUUAACUGCUGUAGUUUCAGCUGGAAAUGACUGUGUGCAAUAGCUGGGUUUUUUUGCAUUCCUAAAUGGUAACAAUUUCCAUCAACAUUUGAGCUUCAUCAGUCUCCCCUCUCUUCGAGUGAGGGAAAUCACCUGUCCAGGACUAAAGCAAUUGCACUGUGACUUUUGUACCAUAAAGAACUGCCGGGGAGUGGUGGUUACCUGCCCUCUGGAGAGGAGGGCUCAGCUCCAGGUGAAUGAUGCUGAAGAUGAGGUAGGAAUGUUGCAUUUUAUGAUAUCUUCUCUCAAACUGUACAGAUUAAAUACUGUUAUUUAAACAAUCUAA